AACGCACAUUGCGCUCUCUGGUAUUCCGGAGAGCAUGCUUGUUUGAGUAUCAGUAAAACACCCUCAGUUCUCUUUUUGAGAACCGGACUUGAGUUAUCCCAACGGCGGUUUCAAAACUACUGGCGGGUCGCUUGAAAUGCAGGUGCGGCUGGACACAUCUUCUGAGCUAUAAGCAUUACUUAUUUAAUCCCGUCAGACGGAUUAUUUCUACUGCUACAGCUAAUAUAAAGGUCGAUUGUCCGUUUGCCCGACUGAUGCAGAAAAAACAGAGAGAAAUCUUUGUUCACUCGAUCUCAAAUCAAGUAAGACUACCCGCUGAACUUAA
rnacentral:misc_RNA from 1 species